rnacentral:rRNA from 1 species
GUGGGGAAUUUUGGACAAUGGGCGCAAGCCUGAUCCAGCCAUUCCGCGUGCAGGAUGAAGGCCUUCGGGUUGUAAACUGCUUUUGUACGGAACGAAAAGACUCUGGUUAAUACCUGGGGUCCAUGACGGUACCGUAAGAAUAAGCACCGGCUAACUACGUGCCAGCAGCCGCGGUAAUACGUAGGGUGCAAGCGUUAAUCGGAAUUACUAGGCGUAAAGCGUGCGCAGGCGGUUUUGUAAGACAGGCGUGAAAUCCCCGGGCUCAACCUGGGAAUUGCGAUUGUGACUGCGAGGCUGGAGUGCGGCAGAGGGAGAUGGAAUUCCGCGUGUAGCAGUGAAAUGCGUAGAUAUGCGGAGGAACACCGAUGGCGAAGGCAAUCCCCUGGGCCUGCACUGACGCUCAUGCACGAAAGCGUGGGGAGCAAACAGGAUUAGAUACCCGGGUAGUCC